AGGUAGUCAACAUCUCAGCAUCGAACCCACGGCCUCCUGUGUACCAGGCGAGGUAGUCAACAUCUCAGCAUCGAACCCACGGCCUCCUGUGUACCAGGCGAGGUAGUCAACAUCUCAGCAUCGAACCCACGGCCUCCUGUGUACCAGGCGAGGUAGUCAACAUCUCAGCAUCGAACCCACGACCUCCUGUACACCAGGCGAGGUAGUCAACAUCUCAGCAUCGAACCCACGACCUCCUGUGUACCAGGCGAGGUAGUCAACAUCUCAGCAUCGAACCCACGACCUCCUGUACACCAGGCGAGGUAGUCAACAUCUCAGCAUCGAACCCACGACCUCCUGUACACCAGGCGAGGUAGUCAACAUCUCAGCAUCGAACCCACGACCUCCUGUACACCAGGCGAGGUAGUUAACAUCGAACCAACGACCUCCUGUGUACCAGGCGAGGUAGUCAACAUCUCAGCAUCGAACCCACGACCUCCUGUACACCAGGCGAGGUAGUUAACAUCGAACCCACGACCUCCUGUGUACCAGGCGAGGUAGUCAACAUCUCAGCAUCGAACCCACGACCUCCUGUACACCAGGCGAGGUAGUCAACAUCUCAGCAUCGAACCCACGACCUCCUGUACACCAGGCGAGGUAGUCAACAUCUCAGCAU